GCCUAACACAUGCAAGUCGAACGGUAGCACAGAGAGCUUGCUCUUGGGUGACGAGUGGCGGACGGGUGAGUAAUGUCUGGGAAACUGCCCGAUGGAGGGGGAUAACUACUGGAAACGGUAGCUAAUACCGCAUAACGUCGCAAGACCAAAGUGGGGGACCUUCGGGCCUCACACCAUCGGAUGUGCCCAGAUGGGAUUAGCUAGUUGGUGAGGUAAUGGCUCACCAAGGCGACGAUCCCUAGCUGGUCUGAGAGGAUGACCAGCCACACUGGAACUGAGACACGGUCCAGACUCCUACGGGAGGCAGCAGUGGGGAAUAUUGCACAAUGGGCGCAAGCCUGAUGCAGCCAUGCCGCGUGUAUGAAGAAGGCCUUCGGGUUGUAAAGUACUUUCAGCGAGGAGGAAGGCAUUAAGGUUAAUAACCUUAGUGAUUGACGUUACUCGCAGAAGAAGCACCGGCUAACUCCGUGCCAGCAGCCGCGGUAAUACGGAGGGUGCAAGCGUUAAUCGGAAUUACUGGGCGUAAAGCGCACGCAGGCGGUCUGUCAAGUCGGAUGUGAAAUCCCCGGGCUCAACCUGGGAACUGCAUUCGAAACUGGCAGGCUAGAGUCUUGUAGAGGGGGGUAGAAUUCCAGGUGGUAGCGGUGAAAUGCGUAGAGAUCUGGAGGAAUACCGGUGGCGAAGGCGGCCCCCUGGACAAAGACUGACGCUCAGGUGCGAAAGCGUGGGGAGCAAACAGGAUUAGAUACCCUGGUAGUCCACGCCGUAAACGAUGUCUAUUUGGAGGUUGUUCCCUUGAGGAGUGGCUUCCGGAGCUAACGCGUUAAAUAGACCGCCUGGGGAGUACGGCCGCAAGGUUAAAACUCAAAUGAAUUGACGGGGGCCCGCACAAGCGGUGGAGCAUGUGGUUUAAUUCGAUGCAACGCGAAGAACCUUACCUACUCUUGACAUCCAGAGAACUUAGCAGAGAUGCUUUGGUGCCUUCGGGAACUCUGAGACAGGUGCUGCAUGGCUGUCGUCAGCUCGUGUUGUGAAAUGUUGGGUUAAGUCCCGCAACGAGCGCAACCCUUAUCCUUUGUUGCCAGCGGUUCGGCCGGGAACUCAAAGGAGACUGCCAGUGAUAAACUGGAGGAAGGUGGGGAUGACGUCAAGUCAUCAUGGCCCUUACGAGUAGGGCUACACACGUGCUACAAUGGCAUAUACAAAGAGAAGCGACCUCGCGAGAGCAAGCGGACCUCAUAAAGUAUGUCGUAGUCCGGAUUGGAGUCUGCAACUCGACUCCAUGAAGUCGGAAUCGCUAGUAAUCGUAGAUCAGAAUGCUACGGUGAAUACGUUCCCGGGCCUUGUACACACCGCCCGUCACACCAUGGGAGUGGGUUGCAAAAGAAGUAGGUAGCUUAACCUUCGGGAGGGCGCUUACCACUUUGUGAUUCAUGACUGGGGUGAAGU
rnacentral:rRNA from 1 species